GCUGCCCGUACAAUCAUCGAAGUUAAGCAAUAUCGAGCCUGAUCAGUACCUAGAGGAGUGACCGCUUGGGAAUACCAGGUGCUGUAAG